rnacentral:rRNA from 1 species
AUUGAACGCUGGCGGCAUGCUUUACACAUGCAAGUCGAGCGGCAGCGCGGGGGCAACCCUGGCGGCGAGCGGCGAACGGGUGAGUAAUGCAUCGGAACGUACCCUGGAGUGGGGGGAUAACGCCGCGAAAGCGGCGCUAAUACCGCAUAUGCUCUGAGGAGGAAAGUGGGGGACCGCAAGGCCUCACGCUCUGGGAGCGGCCGAUGUCCGAUUAGCUAGUUGGUGAGGUAAAGGCUUACCAAGGCGACGAUCGGUAGCUGGUCUGAGAGGAUGAUCAGCCACACUGGGACUGAGACACGGCCCAGACUCCUACGGGAGGCAGCAGUGGGGAAUUUUGGACAAUGGGGGCAACCCUGAUCCAGCCAUGCCGCGUGAGUGAAGAAGGCC